GCGGACCGAAAUUUCAGUAGGGAAGCGAGUGAGUUCACGCUGGCGAGAAAAGCUGCUAGUACAUCCAAAGGUACCCGUACCGGAAACCGACGCAGGUGGGCGAGGAGAGAAUCCUGAGACGAACGGGAGAACCCUUGUUAAGGAACUCGGCAAAAUGACCCCGUAACUUCGGGAUAAGGGGUGCCUGCGAGAGCAGGCCGCAGAGAAUAGUCACAAGCGACUGUUUAGCAAAAACACAGGUAUCUGCGAAAGCGAGAGCUGACGUAUAGGUGCUGACACCUGCCCGGUGCUGGAAGGUUAAGGGAACAUGUUAGAGCAAUCGAAGCAUCGAACCGAAGCCCCAGUAAACGGCGGCCGUAACAAUAACGGUCCUAAGGUAGCGAAAUUCCUUGUCGGGUAAGUUCCGACCCGCUCGAAUGGUGUAACGACUUGUGAGCUGUCUCAACAGGGGGCCCGGUGAAAUUGAAGUAUGGGUGAAGAUGCCCAUUACCCGCGACUGGACGGAAAGACCCCGUAGAGCUUUACUGCAGCCUGAUAUUGAGUUUCGGUAACUGAUGCACAGGAUAGGUGGGAGUCUGAGAGACAUGGGUUUCGGCUCAUGUGGAGACGAUGUUGGGAUACCACUCUUCGGUUACUGAAAUUCUAACAUAGCUCUGUGAAACCAGAGGAUGGACAGUGUCAGGUGGACAGUUUGACUGGGGCGGUCGCCUCCGAAAGAGUAACGGAGGCGCCCAAAGGUACCCUCAGAAUGGAUGGAAACCAUUCGAAGAGCGCAAAGGCAGAAGGGUGCCUGACUGCGAGAUUGACAAAUCGAGCAGAGACGAAAGUCGGGCUUAGUGAUCCGGCGGUAUUGAGUGGAAAAGCCGUCGCUUAACGGAUAAAAGCUACCUCGGGGAUAACAGGCUGAUCUCCCCCAAGAGUCCACAUCGACGGGGAGGUUUGGCACCUCGAUGUCGGCUCGUCGCAUCCUGGGGCUGAAGCAGGUCCCAAGGGUUUGGCUGUUCGCCAAUUAAAGCGGCACGCGAGCUGGGUUCAGAACGUCGUGAGACAGUUCGGUCCCUAUCCAUCGUGGGCGUAGGAGUCAUGAGAGGAGCUGUUCCUAGUACGAGAGGACCGGAAUGGACGCACCACUGGUGCAACUGUUGUCGUGCCAACGGCAUAGCAGGGAAGCGAAGUGCGGAUGGGAUAAACGCUGAAGGCAUCUAAGCGUGAAGCCCACCUCAAGAAUAAGACUCCACAAUAGACCCCUGGAGGACUACCAGGUAGAUAGGUCAUCGGUGGAAGCGCUGUAAGGCGUGUAGCUUGAUGAUACUAAUCGGUCGAAAGCUUCAUGAA
rnacentral:rRNA from 1 species